ensembl:lncRNA novel transcript
GUCCUUCUUGGUGGCUGUAUGAUCUUAAGUAAGCCCAUUUUGCUUCAAUUUUCUUAUCUAGAAAAUGGGGAUAAUAACACCCAUGUUAUAGAGUUAUUCUGAUGAUUUCUAAGAGUCUCAGAGACCUAGGAUCCACAAAAUCAAAACAACAAAACCAAGCCUUUGUGCACAUCUGUGGUUGUGACCAGUUGGAGAGACAUUAGGAGAUGAGAUACUAUGUUCACUCCUCACAGCUGUACCAGGGACCUGAGAUAUUCCGUCACUAUUCUAUGAGAUUUUGGAGAUCCCACCAGUGGUUUUCCGGUGCCAGGGUAUGAGAAGAUAGUCUCCAUGUCCAAACUCACAAUUUCAGAACAAAUUUCAUCAAGAUAAAGGCCUGGGCUGGUGAAUGGUUCCUGCUUUCACUAUUCCAGAUGUCCAGCUCUGUACCUUGCUGCUCUCCUUAAAGCCUGCCUCCCUCUAGGGAGCUAUGGUGCAUUACUCACGAGUGACAGAACCAACGAGCUUCAUCUCCCAAGAGGCUGGUGCAUCUGUUUAAAGGAGCAGGCACUAGGCAGAGCAGCCCCCACCCCACCCUCCAUGGCAGAGUGCAGUGGGGGAAGAAGUUUUCAUAGAAAUGCUUUCUAUAAAGCAUUUUCAUAGAGAAAGCAGGUUCAUAUAGAAAGCACUGGCUGCUGGUUGGAGUGGAGAGAUUGAAGACCCUCAUCUAGGAUCAAGCAACCCCCAGAAAACAAUUUUAAACAUGUCCAUUCAGACAAAAGGAGUCCAAAACCAUAAGAUCCUCUCAGCAUCCUGAACUAAUGUCCAGCUGUUAUCUCGGGAUGGGAUUUCACCAUGUUGUCCAAGCUGGUUUUGAACUCCUGGGGUCAAGAAAUCCACCUGCUUCGGCCUCCCACAGUGCUGGGAUUACAGGUUACAUGAUCUGGAGACUGAGAACUUGGGACACUCCUUGUUCAUCCAAGCGUUUGAACAAAUCCAGUGUCCUUCUUGAGCAAAAUAUGAGCCCCACCUUUAGAAUUUGUGAAUCUCCCUUUCAGAUGGAAAAGCUUUUUUGUGCAUUAAAUAAACUUGAUCCUUAGAUCCA